AACGAAGCUUGACGGAUGAUUUCUUCGGAAUGAAACCAGAUAUGACUUAGUGGCGGACGGGUGAGUAACACGUGAGCAACCUGCCUUUCAGAGGGGGAUAACGGCUGGAAACGGUCGCUAAUACCGCAUGAUGUGUUCGGAUGGCAUCAUCUGAACAUCAAAGAUUUAUCGCUGAAGGAUGGGCUCGCGUCUGAUUAGAUAGUUGGUGGGGUAACGGCCUACCAAGUCUACGAUCAGUAGCCGGACUGAGAGGUUGAACGGCCACAUUGGGACUGAGAUACGGCCCAGACUCCUACGGGAGGCAGCAGUGGGGAAUAUUGCACAAUGGGGGAAACCCUGAUGCAGCAACGCCGCGUGAAGGAUGACGGUUUUCGGAUUGUAAACUUCUUUUCUUGGUGACGAAGACAGUGACGGUAGCUAAGGAAUAAGCAUCGGCUAACUACGUGCCAGCAGCCGCGGUAAUACGUAGGAUGCAAGCGUUAUCCGGAUUUACUGGGUGUAAAGGGAGCGCAGGCGGGACUGCAAGUUGGAUGUGAAAUACCGUGGCUUAACCACGGAACUGCAUCCAAAACUGUAGUUCUUGAGUGAAGUAGAGGCAAGCGGAAUUCCGAGUGUAGCGGUGAAACGCGUAGAUAUUCGGAGGAACACCAGUGG
rnacentral:rRNA from 1 species